GUUUCUGUAGUGUAGUGGUUAUCACGUUUUCGUAACAUGCAAAAUGUCUGUGGUUCGAACCCAGAAAGAAACA